rnacentral:rRNA from 1 species
CCUGCCCAGUGAUAAAAUUCAACGGCCGCGGUACCCUAACCGUGCGAAGGUAGCAUAAUCACUUGUUCUUUAAAUGAGGACUUGUAUCAACGGCAUCACGAGGGUUACACUGUCUCCUUUUUCCAAUCAGUGAAACUGAUCUCUCCGUGAAGAAGCGGAGAUUUUUUUAUAAGACGAGAAGACCCCAUGGAGCUUUAAACCCACCUGCACUCCUAUUUUCUAUUGCCUCUAAAACUAUGGAAUCUGCAUUCUUGGUUUUAGGUUGGGGUGACCGCGGAGCACAAUACAGCCUCCACGAUGAACGGGAUUACCCCCUUAUCUAAGAGCUACACCUCUAAGAAUUAGCAUUCUAACAUAAAAUGAUCCGACAAUCGAUCAACGAACCAAGUUACCCUGGGGAUAACAGCGCAAUCCACUUCAAGAGCCCCUAUCGACAAGUGGGUUUACGACCUCGAUGUUGGAUCAGGGUAUCCUAGUGGUGCAGCAGCUACUAAAGGUUCGUUUGUUCAACGAUUAAAACCCUACGUGAUCUGAGU